GACGAACGCUGGCGGCGUGCUUAACACAUGCAAGUCGAACGGAAAGGCCCUGCUUUUGUGGGGUGCUCGAGUGGCGAACGGGUGAGUAACACGUGAGUAACCUGCCCUUGACUUUGGGAUAACUUCAGGAAACUGGGGCUAAUACCGGAUAGGAGCUCCUGCUGCAUGGUGGGGGUUGGAAAGUUUCGGCGGUUGGGGAUGGACUCGCGGCUUAUCAGCUUGUUGGUGGGGUAGUGGCUUACCAAGGCUUUGACGGGUAGUCGGCCUGGGAGGGUGACCGGCCACAUUGGGACUGAGAUACGGCCCAGACUCCUACGGGAGGCAGCAGUGGGGAAUAUUGCACAAUGGGCGGAAGCCUGAUGCAGCAACGCCGCGUGCGGGAUGACGGCCUUCGGGUUGUAAACCGCUUUCGCCUGUGACGAAGCGUGAGUGACGGUAAUGGGUAAAGAAGCACCGGCUAACUACGUG
rnacentral:rRNA from 1 species